CGCCUUGCCAGCCCGCUCAGAAACUUAAAGGAAGUUGACGGGGGCCCGCACAAGCGGUGGAGCAUGUGGUUUAAUUCGAUGAUACGCGAGGAACCUUACCUGGGCUCAAAUGUAUGUUGACGUAUUCUGAAAGGGAUACUUCUUCGGACAAUAUACAAGGUGCUGCAUGGUUGUCGUCAGCUCGUGCCGUGAGGUGUCGGGUUAAGUCCCAUAACGAGCGCAACCCCUAUCAUUAGUUGCCAUCAGGUCAAGCUGGGGACUCUAAUGAAACUGCCUACGCAAGUAGUGAGGAAGGUGGGGAUGACGUCAAAUCAGCACGGCCCUUACGUCCAGGGCUACACACGUGCUACAAUGGCCGGUACAAAGGGCAGCUACCUGGUGACAGGAUGCUAAUCUCAAAAGCCGGUCUCAGUUCGGAUCGGAGUCUGCAACCCGACUCCGUGAAGUCGGAAUCGCUAGUAAUCGUGAAUCAGAAUGUCACGGUGAAUACGUUCCCGGGCCUU
rnacentral:rRNA from 1 species